rnacentral:rRNA from 1 species
GACGAACGCUGGCGGCGUGCUUAACACAUGCAAGUCGAACGAAGUGGCGAACGGGUGAGUAAUACGUGGGUAACCUGCCCUCCUUUUUGGGAUAAGCCUUGGAAACGGGGUCUAAUACCGAAUAAAGGGGGAUGGGCUCGCGGCCUAUCAGCUUGUUGGUGGGGUGAUGGCCUACCAAGGCGGUGACGGGUAGCCGGCCUGAGAGGGUGACCGGCUGAAGUGGGACGUAGAGACGGCGCAGACUCCUAGGGUAGUCAGCAGUGGGGAAGAGUGCACAAUGGGCGCAAGCCUGAUGCAGCCAUGCCGCGUGUAGGAAGAAGGCCUUAGGGUUGUAAAGUACUUUCAGCGGGUAGACGUUAGCCGCAGAAGAAGCACCGGCUAACUCCGUGCCAGCAGCCGCGGUAAUUC